rnacentral:rRNA from 1 species
AGUCAUAUGCUUGUCUCAAAGAUUAAGCCAUGCAUGUCUAAGUAUAAGUUUUUUACUGCGAAACUGUGAAUGGCUCAUUAUAACAGUUAUUAUUUACUAGCCGGUCAGUUAUUCUUUGGAUACCCAUGGUAAUUCUAGAGCUAAUACAUGCUUACAGACCCAACUUCACGGAAGGGUUGCGCUUAUUAGAUACCGAACCAACCCCGCAAGGGACUUAGUUGAUUCAUAGUGUUCUGGCGAAUCGACAUUAGUCGAUGAGGCUAUCAAGUUUCUGACCUAUCAGCUUCCGACGGUAGGGUAUUGGCCUACCGUGGCUUUGACGGGUAACGGAGAAUUAGGGUUCGAUUCCGGAGAGGGAGCCUGAGAAACGGCUACCACAUCUAAGGAAGGCAGCAGGCGCGUAAAUUACCCAAUCCUGACACAGGGAGGUAGUGACAAGAAAUAUCAAUAUAAGACUUUUGUGUCUUGUAAUUGGGAUGAGCGGAACCUAAAUCGCUUCUCGAGUAUCAAUU